rnacentral:rRNA from 1 species
AUUGAACGCUGGCGGCAGGCCUAACACAUGCAAGUCGAACGAGUGGCGGACGGGUGAGUACUGUCUGGGAAACUGCCCGAUGGAGGGGGAUAACUACUGGAAACGGUAGCUAAUACCGCAUACAAUCGGAUGUGCCCAGAUGGGAUUAGCUUUUAGGUGAGGUAACGGCUCACCUAGGCGACGUUCCCUAGCUGGUCUGAGAGGAUGACCAUCCACACUGGAACUGAGACACGGUACAGACUCCGACGGGAGGCAGCAGUGGGGAAUAUUGCACAAUGGGCGCAAGCCUGAGGCAGCAAUGACGCGUGUAUGAAGAAGGCCUUCGGGUUGUAUAGUACUUGCAGCGGGGAGGCGUUACCCGCAGAAGAAGCACCGGCUAACUCCGUGCCCGCAGCCGCGGUAAUUC